AGCUGAGUGAAAGAAGCCUUGCAUGCAAAAAAGGUUUCCUGGAAUAAGAAUUCAUUGGAAGAAAGCAUUACUGUGUGGAAGUUUGAAAGCCGUUAUCAGUAUUCUCUGCCGAUAGCAAAGGCUCUCUAGUCGGCAACUAUCAGAGCAAAUUCUGUCUCUCCACUCUGUGGUUCUAGGCCCACUGUAGCCACCAGGGAACAGUUCAACUGAAAUGACCCAUCAACUCCAUUCCUGUUGUUAUUCUUAAAACUUCCUGGCACAGCAUCAGAUACCUGCAUGAAGGAAAAGCUUCUUCAGCCUUCCCUCUCUAUUUGGCUUCAAGUGGGUAUAUCACAGUUAUUGCCAUAUACAGAAAAUUCUGACUGACAUUUCCAGAGCUUUUUGGUGACAGAAGUGAUUUUCACAUUCCCUCAAGCUGGAGCAUAUUUUCACAAGCACUAUUUGGGUUCUUUGGUCAUUCAUCUUUAAAGUAAGAGAACUCCAUCUAGACCACUUCCAUCAUCUUGUGAUUCAUGGAAAACCAUUGACAACAGGAUUACUGACUGAUCUUGGAGUUGUUAGUUUUUAUCAGUUUUAGUGUUUUUAUAGUUAUUUCAUUGGGUGGUUGUAAGAGGUUUUACUAGGGGGUGUUAGGUAGCACACACUUUCAAUCAAGCUACCUAUUCAAAAUGUCGGCAUUUUUGCAGUAUCUCCCAAGAUGUUUCUGUUGAAGAAUAAUAUUUGUACUGUGAGAGUUAUAUCUGGAACUCCUGUACUCCAGAAUCAAAAACAAAAAUGUGAAGCAAUAGGUUCUAUUUCACAGGCUAAUUAAAGCAAGAGAUUUGGUAUUUCUUUACAAAAAGAAUGAUGAAGGUAGAUAGUGGCCUGGAAACCAGUGAACCUGAUUGCAAAAUGAAUAUUUAAAAGCCCCUCUGAUUUAAUGUGCUCUUGUUUCCGUUCCCUUUAUUCUUUACAAAGACAAAGAGUCCUCUGUAAAUAUUGCUUUAAGGAUUAUCAGGCUUCAAUUUUCAAUUUUGUCCAAAGGCCAUAAUUUAAACCAUAAUAUUGGCUUUACAAAUGUAAACAGUGAUUGAACCUCUUUCCUUUAGCUAAUAGAAAUGCCAAUGAAAUUAGAGUCAAUUAAAUAAUUGCUUUAUUAACCUAAUGUAUUACUGCUGUAAGACGUGCUGUGACUCAUCCAGUCAGGAGGGGAGCUAGGAGAGAACAAAACUACAUCAACAUAAAGACAAUGGAAACCAGCAUUUUGCAAAAACUUGAUCCAAUAAAAAGAAUAAAACAUUUAUUGAAAUUUUGAUAUAUCAAUUUCAUUCUUUAUAGUUUAACCAUGACCGAAGAUGGAAAACUCCUAAGAGAUUUUAAAGGUUAAAGGUCUUUCAGAAUAUGUUAAAUGUCCCCUCUUCUGCCAAGUUUUCUCUGUCCACCUCUGUCUCCAGACUCCUCCUCUGCUUCUCUCAGGCAAGAUAUCUCACUUUUUCCUUUAUGGUAAUACAGAGGUAUGUGAUUACUGACUUCUAGUGUUAUAUACCUUGAGAGAUGAUUUGCAAUUAUUUUUUAAACUUCUGUAUUCCCUACCAUGUGGUCCCCUGCCUUUUUGAGGACUGAAUUUAUUAUCUCAAUAAUUUCAGAACCUAGUGAAGUAUUAUACCUGGUAAUACCACUAAGCAAAUACUUGAGGAAUGAAUGAGUAAACAGGUCGGUAGCACUGUGGUAUCUCUAGGAAGGUGCAGAGCAGGUUCCCAGUAAUUAAAGCCCUUCUUGUAGCUCACCUUUCUCCUGCUGUGCCCCAAGUGUUCUUGUAUACCUGAGCACAGAACAGCAAGAGGAGAAUUUUGUGGGUCUUCUUUUUCUGACCC